GUGUCAGCCGCCGCGGUAAUACGGGGGGUGCAAGCGUUAUUCGGAAUUACUGGGCGUAAAGAGCGCGUAGGCGGUCUUUUAAGUCAGGUGUGAAAGCCCGGGGCUCAACCCCGGAAGUGCACUUGAAACUAAGGGACUUGAGUAUGGGGAGAGGGAAGUGGAAUUCCUGGUGUAGCGGUGAAAUGCGUAGAUAUCAGGAGGAACACCGGUGGCGAAGGCGACUUCCUGGACCAAUACUGACGCUGAGGCGCGAAGGCGUGGGGAGCAAACAGGAUUAGAUACCCUGGUAGUCCACGCAGUAAACGGUG
rnacentral:rRNA from 1 species